GCUCGAGUGGCGGAAUUGGUAGACGCGCUGGAUUCAAAAUCCAGUGACUUCGGUCGUGCGGGUUCGAUUCCCGCCUCGAGUACAA
rnacentral:tRNA from 1 species